UAUAAAUGGGCAAUAGAGUAGUGUAGUGGUA
rnacentral:piRNA from 1 species